rnacentral:rRNA from 1 species
CCCUUAGACGUUCUGGGCCGCACGCGCGCUACACUGACGGAGCCAGCGAGUAUAAACCUUGGCCGAGAGGUCUGGGAAAUCUUGUGAAACUCCGUCGUGCUGGGGAUAGAGCAUUGUAAUUAUUGCUCUUCAACGAGGAAUUCCUAGUAAGCGCAAGUCAUCAGCUUGCGUUGAUUACGUCCCUGCCCUUUGUACACACCGCCCGUCGCUACUACCGAUUGAAUGGCUUAGUGAGGCUUCCGGAUUGGUUUAGAGAAGGGGGCAACUCCACCUUGGAACCGAGAAGCUAGUCAAACUUGGUCAUUUAGAGGAAGUAAAAGUCGUAACA